rnacentral:rRNA from 1 species
ACGUAGGUGGCAAGCGUUGUUCGGAAUUAUCGGGCGUAAAGGGCGCGUAGGCGGUUUGUUAAGUCAGCCGUGAAAGCCCGGGGCUCAACCCCGGAGGGUCAGCUGAUACUGGCAGGCUAGAGUACGGAAGGGGCAACUGGAAUUCUCGGUGUAGCGGUGAAAUGCGCAGAUAUCAGGAGGAACACCGGUGGCGAAGGCGGGUCUCUGGGCCGAUACUGACGCUGAGGAGCGAAAGCGUGGGGAGCGAACAGGA